AACGAACGCUGGCGGCAUGCCUAACACAUGCAAGUCGAACGAGACCUUCGGGUCUAGUGGCGCAGGGGUGCGUAACGCGUGGGAACCUGCCCUUAGGUUCGGAAUCACUCCCCGAAAGGGGUGCUAAUACCGGAUAAUGUCUUCGCACCAAAGAUUUAUCGCCUUUGGAUGGGCCCGCGUUGGGUUAGCUAGUUGGUAGGGUAAAAGCCUACCAAGGCGACGAUCCAUAGCUGGUCUGAGAGGAUGAUCAGCCACACUGGGACUGAGACACGGCCCAGACUCCUACGGGAGGCAGCAGUGGGGAAUAUUGGACAAUGGGCGAGAGCCUGAUCCAGCAAUGCCGCGUGAGUGAUGAAGGACUUAGGGUUGUAAAGCUCUUUUACCCGGGAUGAUAAUGACAGUACCGUGAGAAUAAGCUCCGGCUAACUCCGUG
rnacentral:rRNA from 1 species